UGCAGUCGAACGCGUUGGCCCAAUUGAUUGAUGGUGCUUGCACCUGAUUGAUUUUGGUCGCCAACGAGUGGCGGACGGGUGAGUAACACGUAGGUAACCUGCCCAGAAGCGGGGGACAACAUUUGGAAACAGAUGCUAAUACCGCAUAAUAACGUUGUUCGCAUGAACAACGCUUAAAAGAUGGCUUCUCGCUAUCACUUCUGGAUGGACCUGCGGUGCAUUAGCUUGUUGGUGGGGUAACGGCCUACCAAGGCGAUGAUGCAUAGCCGAGUUGAGAGACUGAUCGGCCACAAUGGGACUGAGACACGGCCCAAACUCCUACGGGAGGCUGCAGUAGGGAAUCUUCCACAAUGGGCGAAAGUCUGAUGGAGCAACGCCGCGUGUGUGAUGAAGGCUUUAGGGUCGUAAAGCACUGUUGUAUGGGAAGAAAUGCUAGAAUAGGGAAUGAUUCUAGUUCGACGGUACCAUACCAGAAAGGGACGGCUAAAUAC
rnacentral:rRNA from 1 species